GCUCAAAAGUAGAAGCCGCUUAUAAAGAAACGCAUUCUGUGGUAUGUAGCUUUGACAAAGCUUUUUUUCAUUGUUCUAGCUCAGCACACUUUGCUGCAGAUUUUGCAUCCAAUAGAUGGUGCAGUCCUUCAAUAGAACAUAGAAAGAGUUCGAAUUCGAAUUUUUCGAAUUGAUUAUUGUGAUAAUACAUGUGUCACACGUGAUUUUCAUUUUGUGUGCCUGUGUGAGUGUAUAUUUGAUGAUGAAAUCUUGCCUGAAGACUGCAUUCAUUGGAAUGAUUUUUUCUGUAUUUUUGUUCCCGUGAUCUAUGAUCAUCGUUUGAAAAUGGAGCAUUUACGAUAUUGCAGAAAGCCACAGCGGUUGACGAUUCAAUGUUGAGUGUCUUCUUGCGAUGAACCCACAAGGUUAUCCUAUAGGAUCUAUAGACACAAACUUGGAUUAAACAUUGGAUCGAUUAUCAUGUUCAGUCACAAUAUUGAACCACAAAGUGGUUUGCUCAAUGGCACGGGUUUAUUUGUAAAUAGACGCAGCAUUGAAGCUCGAAUAUUGACAAGGAGGCUAUGAUUCAUUUUGCAGCAAAACGAUCGAGAUCCUAAGCUACCAUUUAAAUUGACGAUUUCCUGUCGUAUUGGCUUUUGCUUUGACAAUUAAUGUUAAAAAUAAAAAAAAAGUAAAUAAGUGUGUACCUUCCUACAACAGUA